rnacentral:rRNA from 1 species
UUAAAGGGCUGCAGUAUAUUGACUGUACAAAGGUAGCAUAAUCAUUAGUCAUUUAAUUGAUGACUUGUAUGAAGGAUUGGAUGAAAUAUAAACUGUCUCUUAAUUAUAUUUAGAAUUUAAUUUUUUAAUUAAAAAGUUAAAAUAAAUUAGAAAGACGAGAAGACCCUAUAGAGUUUUAUAGGUAAAAUUAAUUGAGAUUAUUUGUAAAGGUUAAAAUUAAGAUUAAUUUAUUUAUUUUGUUGGGGUGACAGAAAAAUAUAAAAAACUUUUUAUAUGUUUAAAACAUUAAUAAGUGGUUAAAUGAUCCAGUAUUAUUGAUUAUAAGAAAAAAUUACCUUAGGGAUAACAGCGUAAUUUUUUUUUUUAGUUCACAUAAAAAAAAAAGUUUGCGACCUCGAUGUUGGAUUAAGAUAAAAUUUAAAUGCAGAAG